UACAGAGGCCCGUAGCGUUGUUCGGAUUUACUGGGCGUAAAGGGUACGUAGGCGGCGGGGCGUGUCGAGUGUGAAAUCUCCGGGCUCAACCCGGAAAGUGCGCUCGAAACUACCCCGCUGGAGGCCGGGAGAGGGAAGGGGAAUGCAGGGUGUAGCGGUGAAAUGCGUUGAUAUCCUGCAGAACACCGGAGGCGAAGGCGCCUUCCUGGAACGGUACUGACGCUGAGGUACGAAAGUCGGGGGAGCAAAC
rnacentral:rRNA from 1 species